UGACAGCGUGGGCGAAGCCUGAGCAGCAAUGCCGCGUGAGGGAAGACGGCCUUCGGGUUGUAAACCUCUUUCAGUUGGGAAGAAGGGUGGACGGUUAAUAGCCGGCUCACUUGACGGUACCUUCAGAAGAAGCUCCGGCUAACUACGUGCCAGCAGCCGCGGUAAUACGUAGGGAGCAAGCGUUGUCCGGAAUCAUUGGGCGUAAAGCGCGUGUAGGCGGUUACAUAAGUCUGUUGUGAAAGUCGGAGGCUCAACCUUCGAAAGCCGAUGGAUACUGUGUGACUUGAGUACGGAAGAGGAGAGUGGAAUUCCUGGUGUAGCGGGGAGGUGCGCAGAUAUCAGGAGGAACACCAACGGCGAAGGCAGCUCUCUGGGACGUUACUGACGCUGAGACGCGA
rnacentral:rRNA from 1 species